GCAGGUGAAUGCAACGUCAAGCGAUGGGCGUUGCGCUCCAUAUUGUCUUACUUCUUUAUAUUGUGAAUGGCUAUGCAGCAUAGUUGAUUCAGAUAACGCCGGGUGUAUACCCCGGCUUUU
rnacentral:sRNA from 1 species